UACGAAGGGGGCUAGCGUUGUUCGGAAUUACUGGGCGUAAAGCGCGCGCAGGCGGCCUUUCAAGUCAGUGGUGAAAGCCCGGAGCUCAACUCCGGAACUGCCAUUGAAACUGUUUGGCUUGAGUACGAGAGAGGUGAGUGGAAUUCCCAGUGUAGAGGUGAAAUUCGUAGAUAUUGGGAAGAACACCGGUGGCGAAGGCGGCUCACUGGCUUGUUACUGACGCUCAGGCGCGACAGCGUGGGGAUCAAACAGG
rnacentral:rRNA from 1 species